GAUGAAGAACGCAGCGAAAUGCGAUAAGUAGUGUGAAUUGCAGAAUUCAGUGAAUCAUCGAAUCUUUGAACGCACAUUGCGCCCUUUGGUAUUCCUUAGGGCAUGCCUGUUCGAGCGUCAUUUAAACCUUCAAGCUCAGCUUGGUGUUGGGUGACUGUCCGCUUCACCGCGGACUCGCCUCAAAAUUAUUGGCGGCCGGUACAUUGGCUUCGAGCGCAGCAGAAACGCGAACUCGGGCCCGUCGUAUUGGCUCCCAGAAGCUAUCUUCACAAUUUUGACUUCGGAUCAGGUAGGGAUACCCGCUGAACUUAAGCAUAUCAAUAAGCGGAGGA
rnacentral:misc_RNA from 1 species